CGGCGGACGGGUGAGUAAUGUAUGGGGAUCUGCCUGAUGGCGGGGGAUAACUACUGGAAACGGUAGCUAAUACCGCAUAAUGUCUACGGACCAAAGAGGGGACCUUCGGGCCUCUUGCCAUCGGAUGUGCCCAGAUGGGAUUAGCUAGUAGGUGGGGUAACGGCUCACCUAGGCGACGAUCCCUAGCUGGUCUGAGAGGAUGACCAGCCACACUGGAACUGAGACACGGUCCGG
rnacentral:rRNA from 1 species